UUUUUGACAAAUGACGUAACUGUCAAAAGUUCGUGCAUGUUUCAUUUUUUUCAUUGUUUUUGUAUUAUUAAUACACAAGUACUUUGCUAAUUUUUGGUGCUGGGCUUGAAAUUAGUCUAUUUUGUGCCAAGUUACGUGUUGUUGCUUGACUGUGCAAUAAUUUAAAAAAAAAAUUGCUAGUUUGAGGUUAUGUCAUAACCUCAAUCAUGUCGUUUUUGUUGAAUUCCGUUCCGAAAUUCCUCCAAAUUCAAAUUGGGGGACUGUAUGAGACCUCAAUUCGCACCAUUAUGCGUAACCAUUUUCCCCGACCUAACGAAAGGCGGCGAAUUUUACGCCACGGGUGGAAAAAACGGAUGGAAACCCCCGCAGGUCGUCGUGUUUUAAUGAAUCGCAUACUUAAGGGCAGAUGGGUGUACUCACACUAACUUGUAUAAAAUAAAGUAGUUUAAUUAGGCCCCGGUUGUUGGAACUUAGUGGGCGAAUCAGGUUUUCAGUUUUCAUAAUUCGAACUAAAGGGUUGCUAUCGAAACGAUUAAUACUUUUUUGACCAGCAGAUGGCGUGAGAAUACAGAAAUCGAAAUUAAAUACUAAAUUUCAAUUUUUUUGUUUCCGAUAAAUUCAUGACUCGUGUCACUAAUUGCGUGCAAUUUAAUGUGUACGUGCUGAUUUUUAAGUUUCGUUUGUGAGUUUGUGUUAUUGGAAAAUGACACCUUUACUUGCCAAACUUAGAGGAAUACUUGUGAUGAAAAAAAAUAUCAUUAUAACAGGAGAAAAACUUUUUGGGCAAGAAUAUAGUGGAAGUCAGUUUAUGCUGCCGUGAAGAAAUCUAGUCUCAAAUUACUACGUAGUGGAUGGUGUCGUGCUUUCUUUGGGGUAUUUUUCCAUUUGAAUAUUAUUGGAAUAAAAAUAAAGACUUCAAUAUGUAAUUUAUAU